UACAGAGGGGGCAAGCGUUGUUCGGAAUUACUGGGCGUAAAGGGCGCGUAGGCGGCCUGCUAAGUCGAACGUGAAAUCCCCGGGCUCAACCCGGGAACUGCGUCCGAUACUGGCAGGCUUGAAUCCGGGAGAGGGAUGUGGAAUUCCAGGUGUAGCGGUGAAAUGCGUAGAUAUCUGGAGGAACACCGGUGGCGAAGGCGGCAUCCUGGACCGGCAUUGACGCUGAGGCGCGAAAGCGUGGGUAGCAAACAGG
rnacentral:rRNA from 1 species